GUGGGCGUAGCUCAGUUGGUUAGAGCACCAGAUUGUGGAUCUGGGGGUCGGGGGUUCGAGUCCCCUUGCCCACCCCA
rnacentral:tRNA from 1 species